rnacentral:rRNA from 1 species
ACGAACGCUGGCGGCGUGCUUAACACAUGCAAGUCGAACGCGAAAGGGACUUCGGUCCUGAGUAAAGUGGCGCACGGGUGAGUAACGCGUGGAUAAUCUACCCAAUGGUCUGGGAUAACAUUUCGAAAGGGGUGCUAAUACCGGAUAAGACCACGGAGUCUUUGGACUCUGCGGUAAAAGGUGGGGACCUUCGGGCCUACCGCAAUUGGAUGAGUCCGCGUACCAUUAGCUAGUUGGUAGGGUAAAGGCCUACCAAGGCGACGAUGGUUAGCUGGUCUGAGAGGAUGAUCAGCCACACUGGAACUGAGACACGGUCCAGACUCCUACGGGAGGCAGCAGUGGGGAAUUUUGCGCAAUGGGGGAAACCCUGACGCAGCAACGCCGCGUGAGUGAUGAAGGCCUUCGGGUCGUAAAGCUCUGUCAGAGGGGAAGAAAUGCGGGGUGCUAAUAUCACUUCCGCUUGACGGUACCCUCAAAGGAAGCACCGGCUAACUCCGUGCCAGCAGCCGCGGUAAUACGGAGGGUGCGAGCGUUGUUCGGAAUUAUUGGGCGUAAAGCGCGUGUAGGCGGUUUGUUAAGUCUGAUGUGAAAGCCCCGGGCUCAACCUGGGAAGUGCAUUGGAAACUGGCAGACUUGAAUACGGGAGAGGGCAGUGGAAUUCCUAGUGUAGGAGUGAAAUCCGUAGAUAUUAGGAGGAACACCGGUGGCGAAGGCGGCUGCCUGGACCGAUAUUGACGCUGAGACGCGAAAGCGUGGGGAGCAAACAGGAUUAGAUACCCUGGUAGUCCACGCCGCAAACGAUGAGUACUAGGUGUUGCGGGUAUUGACCCCUGCAGUGCCGCAGCUAACGCAUUAAGUACUCCGCCUGGGAAGUACGGCCGCAAGGCUAAAACUCCAAU